CAUCUAUGAUGAUCCUAUCCCGAACCUGAACUGCUGUUGAAAAAACUUCUACGGAUCUGGCUUCUGAGAU
rnacentral:snoRNA from 1 species